rnacentral:rRNA from 1 species
UACGAAGGGGGCUAGCGUUGUUCGGAAUUACUGGGCGUAAAGCGCACGUAGGCGGAUUGUUAAGUGAGGGGUGAAAUCCCAGGGCUCAACCCUGGAACUGCCUUUCAUACUGGCAAUCUCGAGUCCGGAAGAGGUGAGUGGAAUUCCGAGUGUAGAGGUGAAAUUCGUAGAUAUUCGGAGGAACACCAGUGGCGAAGGCGGCUCACUGGUCCGGUACUGACGCUGAGGUGCGAAAGCGUGGGGAGCAAAC